UACGAAGGGUGCAACCGUUGCUCGGAAUCAUUGGGCGUAAAGCGCACGUAGGCGGCCCAGCAAGUUGGAUGUGAAAUCCCUCGGCUCAACCGAGGACGUGCAUCCAAAACUGCUGGGCUUGAGUACUGAAGAGGAUCGCGGAAUUCCCGGUGUAGAGGUGAAAUUCGUAGAUAUCGGGAGGAACACCAGUGGCGAAGGCGGCGAUCUGGGCAGAUACUGACGCUGAGGUGCGAAAGCGUGGGUAGCAAACAGG
rnacentral:rRNA from 1 species